GGUGAACGCUGGCGGUAGGCCUAACACAUGCAAGUCGAACGGCAGCACAGUAAGAGCUUGCUCUUACGGGUGGCGAGUGGCGGACGGGUGAGGAAUACAUCGGAAUCUACUUUUUCGUGGGGGAUAACGUAGGGAAGCUUACGCUAAUACCGCAUACGACCUACGGGUGAAAGCAGGGGAUCUUCGGACCUUGCGCGAUUGAAUGAGCCGAUGUCGGAUUCGCUAGUUUGCGGGGUAAAGGCCCACCAAGGCGACGAUCCGUAGCUGGUCUGAGAGGAUGAUCACACACAUUGGAACUGAGGCACGUCCCCCACUCCUGCGGGGGGCCGCAGUGGGGAAUAUUGGGCAAGGGGGGCGAGCCUGAUCCAGCCAAACCGCGUGGGGGAAGAAGCCCUUCGGGUGGUAAAGCCCUUUUGUUGGGAAAGAAAAGCAGCAGUUUAAUCCCCCGCGAUUCUGACGGUACCGAAAGAAUAAGCACCGGCUAACUUCGUG
rnacentral:rRNA from 1 species